GCCACACGUUCUGUCCGGAUCCUGAUACGUAUGCCUGUAGACGAUGCCAUCCUAAAUAUUUUAAACUGUGUCUACAAACAUCUGGACUUACCGAACACUUAUGGACCUCCCGUUGUGGGAGGACUGUGAAUGUUACACCUCUGUCUCCGUAGUGGUCUGAUGAACAUUUAUGAUCCGGCUUAUUUAAGCCAAAUAAAAUACAGCGAUGUAAAGCAAAAACAGAGAAAGAAAGGGAAGCGUAUUGGAAAUUGUGGUGGCGGUAUAAUGAAACCUCAAGAACAAGUAAAAGAGCAUCAAAGAGGAAGAUUGGGAGGAGAUGUCGGAAUAAAUAGACAAGCUAAACUAAUGUCAAGGACGACGUGUUCAACCAUCACAAGUAGUACAGAAAUCUGAGUUGACAGUGCUAAAGGAAAGUGCGCAAAUGUCGUAUUGGGGAAUUCUCACACUAAAAAUGUAUCUCAGUAAUCUGCUUGAUAUUUUAAGAUUUUUUAAGCAAUUUCUCAAGUCAACCAGUUCUCUACUUUACUAGGACGGACCUAUUUUAACUGACGAGACGGUAAUUUUUAAUCGACCAGAGUAACUCUUCAUUGGCAAAAAAAUAAAAUCUGCAAUGGUCAUAGACAUUGGAACAAAAUAGGAUAAGUUUAGAGAUUAAGUGAAUAUGGAAGUUAUCUAAAAUAACAAUAGACCUUGUUGUUAUAGCAACCGAGAAGAUAGUGACAACUGACCUCGCAAACAUGUUCGAGGCCUUUAACAUCCCUAAGAAGAUUUUAGAUACCUGUCAGAGGUUUGCAGACCUGCCAAUCGCCAGAAAAUUCCAUUGCGGACACUGUCAACGGGAGACUACAAUGAAUUUUGUUUCUCUCCUGUCAAUGUCAAGGUCAUAUCCUGACAACGCUUAAAGUGUGAAUAUUUCUACGUUCUUACAAUUUAAAAAAAAAUGUAUCCUCAAUUGGAGAUGAUAAUCUAUUUCGGAUAACUAUAAAUAGCUAUUUGGUGUAUCUGGUGUGCAUAAAAUAGGAACUGUUGAUGACUUGUGUCAUUUUGAAGGAGUGCGAUAAAAUGUGUGCACUAUUUAGCACUGGAAAAUUCUUAAAUCUUUAGGAAAAAAAGUUUUAUUUAAAUAUUUAGUUGGCAGCGUCCUUGACAUUGUCUAAAAAAAAAAAAGAA